rnacentral:rRNA from 1 species
GCAAGUCGAGCGCGCCUUCGGGUGAGCGGCGGACGGGUUAGUAACGCGUGGGAACGUACCCUUUUCUACGGAAUAGCCUUUGGAAACGAAGAGUAAUACCGUAUACGCCCUUUGGGGGAAAGAUUUAUCGGAGAAGGAUCGGCCCGCGUUAGAUUAGAUAGUUGGUGGGGUAACGGCCUACCAAGUCUACGAUCUAUAGCUGGUUUUAGAGGAUGAUCAGCAACACUGGGACUGAGACACGGCCCAGACUCCUACGGGAGGCAGCAGUGGGGAAUCUUAGACAAUGGGCGCAAGCCUGAUCUAGCCAUGCCGCGUGAGUGAUGAAGGCCUUAGGGUCGUAAAGCUCUUUCGCCUGUGAUGAUAAUGACAGUAGCAGGUAAAGAAACCCCGGCUAACUCCGUGCCAGCAGCCGCGGUAAUACGGAGGGGGUUAGCGUUGUUCGGAAUUACUGGGCGUAAAGCGCACGUAGGCGGAUUGGAAAGUUGGGGGUGAAAUCCCGGGGCUCAACCCCGGAACUGCCUCCAAAACUAUCAGUCUAGAGUUCGAGAGAGGUGAGUGGAAUUCCAAGUGUAGAGGUGAAAUUCGUAGAUAUUUGGAGGAACACCAGUGGCGAAGGCGGCUCACUGGCUCGAUACUGACGCUGAGGUGCGAAAGUGUGGGGAGCAAACAGGAUUAGAUACCCUGGUAGUCCACACCGUAAACGAUGAAUGCCAGUCG